CCUACGGGUGGCAGCAGUGAGGAAUAUUGGUCAAUGGGCGUAAGCCUGAACCAGCAAAGUCGCGUGAGGGAUGAAGGUUCUAUGGAUCGUAAACCUCUUUUAUAAGGGAAUAAAGUGUGGGACGUGUCCUAUUUUGUAUGUACCUUAUGAAUAAGGAUCGGCUAACUCCGUGCCAGCAGCCGCGGUAAUACGGAGGAUCCGAGCGUUAUCCGGAGUUAUUGGGUUUAAAGGGUGCGUAGGCGGCCUUUUAAGUCAGCGGUGAAAGUCUGUGGCUCAACCAUAGAAUUGCCGUUGAAACUGGGGGGCUUGAGUAUGUUAGAGGCAGGCGGAAUGCUUGGUGUAGCGGUGAAAUGCUUAGAUAUCACGCAGAACCCCAAUUGCGAAGGCAGCCUGCCAAGCCAUGACUGACGCUGAGGCACGAAAGCGUGGGGAUCAAACAGGAUUAGAUACCCUUGUAGUC
rnacentral:rRNA from 1 species